rnacentral:rRNA from 1 species
UAGGAGCGGUUCAUGGCCUAUCAGGUAGUUGGUGGGGUAAUGGCCUACCAAGCCGACGACAGGUAGCGGGUCUGAGAGGAUGAUCCGCCCGAGUGGGACUGAGACACGGCCCACACACCUACGGGUGGCAGCAGUUGGGAAUCUUGCACAAUGGGGGAAACCCUGAUGCAGCGACGCCGCGUGGAGGACAAAGGGUCUAGGCCUGUAAACUCCUUUUAUCGGGAAAGACUUAGGACGGUACCCGAUGAAUAAGGACCGGCUAACUACGUGCCAGCAGCCGCGGUAAGACGUAGGGUCCAAGCGUUGUCCGGAUUUACUGGGCGUAAAGAGCGCGUAGGCGGCUCGUUAAGUGUAGAGUGAAAUCUCUGGGCUCACCCCAGAAACCGCUCUGCAUACUGGCGAGCUGGAGUGUCGGAGAGGUAUGUGGAAUUCCUGGUGUAGCGGUGAAAUGCGUUGAUAUCAGGAGGAACACCCAUGGCGAAGGCAGCAUACUGGCCGACCACUGACGCUGAGGCGCGAAAGCGUGGGUAGCAAACAGGAUUAGAUACCCUGGUAGUCCACGCCCUAAACGAUGGAUACUAGGCGUAAGGGGUAUCGACCCCCCUUGUGCCGCAGCUAACGCACUAAGUAUCCCGCCUGGGGAGUACGGCCGCAAGGUUGAAACUCAAAUGAAUUGACGGGGACCCGCACAAGCGGUGGAGCAUGUGGAUUAAUUCGAUACUAACCGAAGAACCUUACCCAGACUUGACAUCGAUCGCAAAGCCUAGAAAUAGGCUCCUCCCCCACAAGGGGACGUGAAGACACUUGUUGCAUGGCUGUCGUCAGCUCGUGCCGUGAGGUGUACGGUUAAGUCCGCCAACGAGCGCAACCCACGUCCUGUGUUACCAGCGAGAAAGUCGGGCACUCACAGGAGACCGCC